ensembl:lncRNA
AUGUAUAUCAACAUUUGCUUCGACGCCGGCGACACGGAGCGGCUGGAGGAGCUUCCUCUCUGCAGCUGCAGGAUGGAAGCUCCUCGGAUCGACAGCAGCGGCCAGCGCAGCAGCAGACAGUGCAUGGCCACGGAGAGCAUCAACGGAGAGGUCGGGGACUGGACGGUGAAAGGCGAGACCAUGCGACCGUCCAGCCGCGUCUCCCUCAUGGUGCUCUGCGACGUCCAUCGCUCACACAUGGUCAAACACCACUGCUGUCCGGGCUGUGGGUACUUCUGCAUCGCAGGCACGUUUCUGGAGUGCUGUCCCGACCAGCGCAUCGCGCACCGCUUCCACCGCGGCUGCGUGACCGUGCUGAGCAGCGGGCGCAGCCGCGCCAACGGCGGCGGCAUGAUCUUCUGCCCCCACUGCGGGGAGGACGCCUCGGAGGCCCAGGAGAUCACCCUCCCGUCCUCCAGCGCCGCCGCCACCGUCGUCACCAUGUCCGCCUCCUCCACCACCACGCCGUCGCUGCCCCUGCCCGCUCGGAUGCAGAGCCACGGCCUGUUCACGCUGACGGUGGAGCAGCCGCCGCAGUCGGCCGCCGCCGCCGCCACCGUCACUGCCGCCGCCACCCCUCCAGGAGAGGAGGGAGUGGAUAGCGUGGGGCCGUCGCUAUGCAUGCCGAACGGGAAGCCGGUCUGCCCGAGCGCGCUUCCGCCUGGAACCAGCAGGGCGGCGCUGCAGAAAGCAAUUCUGACCCAGGACUCAGAGAGGAGGAAGAAGUUGAGGUUUCACCCUCGACAACUCUAUCCAGCCGCCAAGCAAGGGGAGGGGCAAAGAGUUCUGCUGAUGCUGAUGGAGGGAAUCGAUCCCACGUACCAGCCGGACUCCCAGAAUCGGCGCUCCGCUCUACACGCUGCAGCUCAAAGAGGUUUACUGGAGAUCUGCUACAUGCUGAUACAGGCCGGCGCCAACGUGGACGCCAAGGACAAAGAAAUGAGGACUCCUCUGCUGGAGGCCGUCAUCAACAACCACGUGGAGGUGGCCCGCUACCUGGUCCAGAGCGGAGCCUGCGUCUAUCACGUCGAGGACGACGGAUACACCGGCCUUCACCACGCCGCCAAGCUGGGGAACCUGGAAAUCGUUAACAUGCUUCUGGAGACGGGCCAGGUGGACGUGAACGCACAGGACAACGGGGGCUGGACGCCCAUCAUCUGGGCUGCCGAGCACAAACACGUGGAGGUGAUCAAGGCUCUGCUGAACCGAGGAGCAGACGUCUCCAUCACGGAUAAGGAGAUGAACGUUUGUCUCCACUGGGCGGCGUACGCGGGAAGUGUGGACAUCGCCGAGAUGGUGUUGAACUCCGGCUGCUCGCUCGCCUCCGUCAACGUCCACGGCGACACGCCGCUGCACAUCGCCGCCAGGGAGGGAUACCUGGACUGUGUGACGUUGUUCCUCAGCAGAGGUGCAGACAUCGACAUCAUGAACAAAGAGGGGGACACGCCGCUCAGCCUGGCCCGGGCCGACACCCCCGUGUGGGUGUCGCUCCAGAUCAACAGGAAACUACGGCGAGGAAUUACAAACCGUCUCCUCCGGACCGAGAGAAUCAUAAGCCGGGACAUCGCCCAAGGCUACGAGAACGUGCCCAUCCCCUGCGUGAACGGCGUGGACGAGGAGGGCUGCCCGUCCGACUACAAAUACGUUUCGGAGAACUGCGAAACAUCGGCCAUGAACAUCGACCGGAACAUCACGCACCUGCAGCACUGCGGCUGCACGGACGACUGCUCCUCCAGUAACUGCCUCUGUGGGCAGCUCAGCAUCCGGUGCUGGUACGACAAGGACCAGCGGCUGCUGCAGGAGUUCAACAAGAUCGAGCCUCCGCUCAUCUUUGAGUGCAACAUGGCGUGCUCCUGUUACCGCAGCUGCAAGAACAGAGUGGUUCAGGCCGGCAUCAAAGUCCGGCUGCAGCUCUACAGGACGGAGAAGAUGGGCUGGGGGGUCCGAGCUCUGCAGGACAUCCCCCAAGGGAGCUUCAUCUGCGAGUACGUCGGAGAGCUGAUUUCUGACGCCGAGGCCGACGUCCGAGAAGACGACUCCUACCUGUUCGACCUGGAUAACAAGGACGGGGAGGUGUACUGCAUAGACGCCCGUUACUACGGCAACAUCAGCCGCUUCAUCAACCACCUGUGCGACCCGAACCUCAUCCCGGUGCGGGUCUUCAUGCUGCACCAGGACCUGCGCUUCCCGCGCAUCGCCUUCUUCAGCUCGCGGGACAUCCUGAGCGGGCAGGAGCUGGGGUUCGACUACGGCGACCGCUUCUGGGACAUCAAGAGCAAGUACUUCACCUGCCAGUGCGGCUCGGAGAAAUGCAAACACUCGGCCGAGGCCAUCGCCCUGGAGCAGAGCAGGCUGGCCCGGCUGGAGAUGUCUCACUGCGUCCCAGAUUUAACGUCUGCGUUAACUUCUUCACUUCCUCGUAAAGAUUUAUGA